UCCCCCCUUGUGACUUUUCUUCAUUUGUGGACUAAAUCCUCUGGUAUUUGUGUGCUCAGAGUUUCACAUGGAGCACUUCAACACAAUGUGGCUGCUUGGGGGAGUGGGAGGAACAGCACACUUUUAACAAGUGUCCUUGAGGCAGAACAACAGGAAGGCACAUUGCCACGCAUCAGCCUUUAUUUAUGCAUAUGGAGUGCAAGUUUAGGGACAAGGAGCUCAGAGGAUGGAAAAAGGCACAUGGUGGUUAUGUAUCCACCCUGGCAGAGCAGGUAAUGGGCAGCAGGACAUCUAAGACCCACCUCACUGAAAACUGAAACGCAAGAGGAGGGAGCUCUGCAGGAGGAAAUCUGCUGCAUUACCUAUGAACAGGACAAUGUCCCCCAAUGAGUCACCCUAUUCAUAUAUUUUUGGAACCCAGAGGAAUUGGUUUGACUAUUUACAGAUUAUAACAGUUGGUAGUUGAAUGUUUUAUUUUCAUUCCCAGUUGGUACAAUAUGUUCACAGCUGAUGCUAAUGGCUUGCCCAUUUGAUAUCACAUAUGGUCCACUAUUUGGGUCUCCUAAAGCUUUCUUUUGUGGUCAGAAUGCUUUAAACCUUUCAUAUAUUUAGGUUUGUUUUGUCUGCUGGAAAGGUGACUAAGAAACUCUGAAACUUGGCAGCUUUAGAGUAAAUCAGCAAUUCUCUUGAUAAAGAUUCAAAGAAUUUGUGUCUAAAUGUCCAGUAAAGAAUAUUUUUAUAUAGAAAUGCCUUACAACAUCAUGUGAAAUUUUAAAAGAAAUGUCCUUUCCUUGUCUUUGAAGUUGUGAUUGACUUACCUUCCAAUGUAUUGGCACCAUUGAGCAUUGUCAGGACUACUUUUUCUGGGUGUUCUGUUGCAUUGGAAAACAAUUUAUGCAUAAUUUGUAUUGCUUAAAUCACUAUUUGUAUUUUUAUUUGAAUAUUAAUGUUCCGGUAAUGUUUUAUGAAAAGAGAAGAUUUGAAAAAGCAAAACAUUUUUUCCUUUGGUUUCGGGAAGAAGACCACAAGAAAAGUAAACUAAAAAAAUAUGAGAACAAAAAUUAAAAUUGCAAGCCUGUCUGAAGUUGUUCUCCUAUGAUACCGAAGUGUUUAUAGUGACUCUAAAACAUAACUGAUAAUGCCAGAAUCUCAUAAAAAGAUUGUUUCCAAAACUAUUGUAUUACCCUCUGAGAGGUGAAAUUCUCAUUUAUUCGUAGGAGUAGAUCAUAAUAGCUCUAAUUCCCUGAGAAGUGGGCAUUGUAUGAUAAUUAAGCAGGGUAGUACAUUAAUUGUCCUCCACUUCACCUCUAGAUGUUUAAUUCCUUAUCUAGUCAACUAGAAAACAAUAAUGCUUACUUAUUUGUGCCUUACUGUUCAAAUAAUUUUUCUAACUGGGUAAUUUAUUUGAAAUAAAGCAGAAUAAGCAUAUUCAUGUGAAAGGGACAUUCAAAUCAUGUUAAAUUAACAUAUUAAAUGCCAUUAGGUGGUAGGAUGCAGGUUUUAUGGUUGUAUUUUUUCAACCAUGCAACUUUAGCUGAAUAACAGCAAUGUGAUUUUGCAUGCAGGAAUAUUUCUCUAACUAGUGGGACAGAUUUGGCAGUUCUUGCCAC